AUCCCCUGGGUGAGGAGCACAGCUGUGCAUCGUUACGGUGACUUGUGAUGCAGCAAGUUACUGCAUGCUGCUCCAGGGCCAUUGUCCGCGCACAGAAUUUUAUGUGCACAGGUUUUCCCCCUGCAGCAAAAACAGUUCACCCUAGUUUAGUUUCAACCCGCAUUUGAGACCAGAGAUUGAAUCUGGAACCACCCAACGGCCAUCCCCUGCUGCUUUUGCUUUGCUGCAAGGGAAGGGUGGGAGCUACCGCAGCAGCAGCGCCUGUGUUACAUCCUCAUCCCUUCCUAAAUGCCAAAGGAGAGGCAAUCCCACAACCUGGCGUGGGUGCAGGCACCGUGCCGACAGGGUCUGCGCUGGCUUUUCCAUCAUUCCCUGGUUCUGACCACGUGCUCUUCUCCCUGCAGAGGCUGAGCAGCCGGAGGGUUACUAUGCACGGGUGUCGGAGGAGGUCGGGCUGAUCGUGCAGGGCAGUGGGGAGCGCAGGGCUGAGCGGCUGCCAGGGCCAACCUGCACCGAUGGGGUUGAUGAAGCCAUCAGAGAAAUUGUGGCCUUGCUGCAGGAAGCUGGAGAUGAGCUGGACAGGCAGGUGAGAGCCUAUGGGGUCAGGGGAACCUUCGCUCUGACACAGUGGAGACGCUCAGUGAAAUCAAGGAAAUGGUGCCCUCGAAUUCCCCGCCGGGGUGUGAUCCUGUCUGCCUGCCCUCUCCCAUCUGCAGUCCUCACGAGAUGCAAAGGCGUCAACCCGAGGCUGACGCACCGCAUUGUUUGCCCUCAAUGAGCCCAUUCGUUUGCUUCCCCAACAGGUGAGGGAAGACGUGCGGCUGCGGACGUUCUUCAGAGACAUGUCCUACAGCUCCUUCAAGACCCUGGCUGAUGCUUACGUCCGCCGGGAGAUGACGGCCAGCCGACCCAACGUCAACCCCCAGGAGAUCCAGUUUGCCUUCACGGUGCACCUCACUGCCAAAGUGGCCGGCAUCUGCAACCAGGCUGUGAACAGGAUCAUGGGAUUCGGCACCCGUUACUUGGAAGACUCGUUUGCGCCCCUGUCCUACAGCAAAGUCCUCCAGGACAGAGCAAAAUUCAGCACAGACAACUGCGAGAGCCCGGACUGAUGGUGCUGCAGCUGUGACCCCAAUGAUGGACAUCAAUGACUGGGACACAGCCUCUGGAGGUGACCUGGAUGUCCUGCGGGUUUGUGGAUUUCAAAUCCACAGAGGAAACCCACAGCAGUCACCGUGGUGGCACAAUGGGAUGAAACCCCACCUGGCAGGGGGCAAAGGGUCUGAAAAGCCCACAUUUCUGAGACUGCCCUAAAUUUCCAUUUUGGCUCCCAUCAGAUGCAUGUGUGGAGCCUCACGGUUCAUUUGUGUGUGUGUGCAUGUAUUUAUUUACCAACUUUUCUUACAUAUCUGUGAAUGUAGGCUAUAAUUUCUCCAGCUUCUGCUGUCAGUCAAGGGUCCAGUUCAGAAAAAACCCAUAACACUCAAAAAAAUGGGUCCCUGUGUGACAUCCAGGCUCGUCUGAAGGCAGAGGAAAUGUGUAUGCAUGUUAUACAUGGAAUAAAGUUUGCUUUGCUACAGCUGUUGUGAGUUUC
ensembl:lncRNA